rnacentral:rRNA from 1 species
AGUGAGCGCUGGCGGUAGGCCUAACACAUGCAAGUCGAACGGCAGCACAGUAAGAGCUUGCUCUUACGGGUGGUGAGUGGCGGACGGGUGAGGAAUACAUCGGAAUCUACUUUUUCGUGGGGGAUAACGUAGGGAAACUUACGCUAAUACCGCAUACGACCUACGGGUGAAAGCAGGGGAUCUUCGGACCUUGCGCGAUUGAAUGAGCCGAUGUCGGAUUAGCUAGUUGGCGGGGUAAAGGCCCACCAAGGCGACGAUCCGUAGCUGGUCUGAGAGGAUGAUCAGCCACACUGGAACUGAGACACGGUCCAGACUCCUACGGGAGGCAGCAGUGGGGAAUAUUGGACAAUGGGCGCAAGCCUGAUCCAGCCAUACCGCGUGGGUGAAGAAGGCCUUCGGGUUGUAAAGCCCUUUUGUUGGGAAAGAAAAGCAGCAGGUUAAUACCCCGCUGUUCUGACGGUACCCAAAGAAUAAGCACCGGCUAACUUCGUG